CCCUACGGGGGGCAGCAGUAGGGAAUUUUCGUCAAUGGGCGCAAGCCUGAACGAGCAAUGCCGCGUGAACGAGGAAGGUCUUCGGAUCGUAAAGUUCUGUUGAAGGGGAAAAAGAGCGGAGAGAGGAAAUGCUUUCUGAUUGAUAUUACCCUUCGAGGAAGUCGCGGCUAACUACGUGCCAGCAGCCGCGGUAAUACGUAGGUGGCGAGCGUUAUCCGGAAUGAUUGGGCGUAAAGGGUGCGUAGGCGGCCUGCUAAGUCUGGAGUGAAAGGUACCGGCUCAACCGGUAUAGGCUCUGGAAACUG
rnacentral:rRNA from 1 species